rnacentral:rRNA from 1 species
UACAGAGGUCCCAAGCGUUGUUCGGAUUCAUUGGGCGUAAAGGGUGCGUAGGUGGCGAUGUAAGUCUGGUGUGAAAUCUCGGGGCUCAACCUCGAAAUUGCAUUGGAUACUGCGUUGCUUGAGGAUUGUAGAGGAGAGUGGAAUUCACGGUGUAGCAGUGAAAUGCGUAGAUAUCGUGAGGAAGACCAGUUGCGAAGGCGACUCUCUGGGCAAUUCCUGACACUGAGGCACGAAGGCCAGGGGAGCAAACGGG